rnacentral:rRNA from 1 species
UACGUAGGGGGCUAGCGUUGUCCGGAUUUAUUGGGCGUAAAGAGCGUGUAGGCGGCCAGGUAGGUCUGCUGUGAAAACUCGAGGCUCAACCUCGAGACGUCGGCGGAAACCAUCUGGCCAGAGUCCGGAAGAGGAGAGUGGAAUUCCUGGUGUAGCGGUGAAAUGCGCAGAUAUCAGGAAGAACACCCGUGGCGAAGGCGGCUCUCUGGGACGGUACUGACGCUGAGACGCGAAAGCGUGGGGAGCGAACAGG